AUCGCUUCUCGGCCUUUUGGCUAAGAUCAAGUGUAGUAUCUGUUCUUAUCAGUUUAAUAUCUGAUAUGUUCUCUAUUUGAGAACUGNAUAUUAAAUGAGUUUUUGGACCUAGGAGUUGGAAAAGGGGCUUGCUCCGUCCGCUCCAUGCAUCAACCUGGUAUUGCAGUAUCUCCAGGAAUGGUGCANCUCCC
rnacentral:snRNA from 1 species